UGGGGAAUAUUGGACAAUGGGCGCAAGCCUGAUCCAGCUAUGCCGCGUGGAUGAAGAAGGCCCUAGGGUUGUAAAGUCCUUUCGUUGGUGAAGAUAAUGACGGUAACCAAAGAAGAAGCCCCGGCUAAUUUCGUGCCAGCAGCCGCGGUAAUACGAAAGGGGCUAGCGUCGUUUGGAAUUACUGGGCGUAAAGCGCACGUAGGCGGCCUUGUAAGAUGGGGGUGAAAUCCCUGGGCUCAACCCAGGAACUGCCUUCAUGACUGCAAAGCUUGAGGAUGUGAGAGGUUGGCGGAAUUCCGAGUGUAGAGGUGAAAUUCGUAGAUAUUCGGAAGAACACCAGUGGCGAAGGCGGCCAACUGGCACAUUUCUGACGCUGAGGUGCGAAAGCGUGGGGAGCAAACAGGAUUAGAUACCCACGUAGUCCCUGAGCGGGCUGGCAAGGCGCAU
rnacentral:rRNA from 1 species